rnacentral:rRNA from 1 species
UAACGAAUAUUCCGCAAUGCGCGAAAGCGUGACGGAGCAAUGCCGCGUGUGGGAUGAAGCAUCUAGGUGUGUAAACCACUGUCAGGGAACAGGAACACAAUGACCGUUCCCAAAGGAAGGGCCGGCUAACUUCGUGCCAGCAGCCGCGGUAAAA